CCAGACCCAGGGAAGCCUGGGGGAGAGCUCAUUGCUGAGCUCUGGGAUUGUGUGAGCAGAUUACGAUGGUGCUUUAAACUGGUUUUCAUGGCAUUAAUUUAAUGAGUUUUUGAACACCCAGCCACUACACAAUUUCUCUGGCUAUGAAGAAGUAAGACAGUUGGUCUUGCUAUUCUGCACUGGGGCAGAUUUAUUUGAAAAAUCAAGGGAGAGCAUUUGCUGCUCUGUAUCUGAAGAAUUGUGAGGUCAUGCAUUGAAUUCUUUGCCUCUUGCUGACCUGGGAAGAAGGAAAAGAAGUGGCCUCAGGAACCUGAAGCCUUAAAAUACAAGGGGAGAGCUGCUGUCACCUUCCUGAGAUGGCUGCAACCCUUGCUGGUAUAACUUGGCUCUUGAUGCUGUUUGCUGAAAAAGCCUUGUUAGCAGUUGUCUCUCAGAUAUUCCUGUUCCUCUCCCAGCCUUGCAGCUGCCUUUCCCAGCCUGUUGCCUUUCCUCUCCCUGUUCCUGCCAAGCUCCUGCACUGUUCCUGUACACAGGGAGCACCAUCCAGGGCUUCUUUUAUGUGUGUGUGUGUCUCUUUCAGCUGCUAGCAGAGAUUUUUAUUUGCAUGGGGUGGGACAGGGGUAGAUGCAUCCCUGCACCUGCUGCUUUGCCAGUCAAAUUGAGAGGGACCAACCUCUGCCGUUCAAGAGUGACGUGACAAUUUCUGAUCCCUUUUGGUGGCAGCUGGGACUUGCCCUCCUGACUUGGUGUCCCCUGACCCAGCAGCAGUGCCUGUAGCUGAGGGAAACACUGUGUAAAGCAGAUGACAGGUUGUGUUUGCUCCUCCAGCUGCAGCGAGCAGUGCUUUCCUACAGACAGUCUGUCUCUACUCUAAACCAAUCCAGAAGUGUCACCAUCCCAGCAGAAGAUGGAGGACAAGAAGAAGGAGAAGAAGGACAGGACACACCCAGAUUCCUCCAUCUUGCCUCUUGAACCCCCAUUCCAGAACCCCAAAAUUCUACUUUUUCACCCUGUGACAAAUUAGCUAUCAUUCUACUCAAACUCCCGUGGCUUGUAAAUCUUCACACAAAGUUGGGAAUUUUUUCCAUGGGUUAAAAUCGAAGGCACAGGUGGUUUUGACUCUGUGCCAAGGUCUCUGAGCCCCUUGCCAGGGUCUCGAAUCACCCAGGGCAGCCAGAGGAAUGUCCUGGGUCCCGAAAGGCUCUGUCCCAGUGUGGCACAGCAGUGACAUGCCAGCAGGCAGCCUGGACACCAAGCUGGUAGCUGGAAUGAGCAUGGGAUAAAAUCCCAGCGACACCGUCGGGAACUGGAGGCAGCCCCAUCAUCCUGGCAUGGUAAAUAUAAAUGCAGCCCUUAUGGGAGGGCUGGGUCCUGCUGUAAUAAAUUGGAUUAAGGGCUAUUUUUACAUUCCUGCCUCUGGAGAGGGUUUUGGGGGCCUGGAGACAGAUGCAUGUCAUGGCUGGGUGCUGGCAGCCCCGUGUCCACUCCAGAGGGGUCACCAAGCAUCUGAGCAAGCCAGCCCUGGCUUACCUGAGGGCAGCAUGGAUGAGCUUCCCACCAGCAGCAGAAACAAGAGCAAUCAUCUCCCCUGAAAUCAUCUCCAUUGAACUUGCUGCCUUCUUCCACCUCCUGACAUGCACCAAGACUGGAUGCUUUCACAGAGGCCUUCUGCCUAGACCAGGACAAGCCACUUGAGAGACCUCAGAGCAGCUGUGGGAGCUGCUGGUGCUGCUCAUCCUGAAACAAAUGGGAUUCCAAGAACUCUACCUAGAAUCACUUGUUUCUGCCAAGCGGUUGUUCAUGAUGGCCAGAGCCCCCACCCCCGCAGAGAAACCGUUCUGUCUCGUGUUGAUACAGACGUUCCUGGGGU